rnacentral:rRNA from 1 species
AUUGAACGCUGGCGGCAGGCCUAACACAUGCAAGUCGAGCGGAAGAAGGGAGCUUGCUCCUGGAUUCAGCGGCGGACGGGUGAGUAAUGCCGAGGAAUCUGCCUGGCAGUGGGGGAUAACGUCCGGAAACGGGCGCUAAUACCGCAUACGUCCAGAGGGAGAAAGUGGGGGAGCUUCGGACCUCGCGCUAUCAGAUGAGCCUAGGUCGGAUUAGCUAGUUGGUGGGGUAAAGGCCUACCAAGGCGACGAUCCGUAACUGGUCUGAGAGGAUGAUCAGUCACACUGGAACUGAGACACGGUCCAGACUCCUACGGGAGGCAGCAGUGGGGAAUAUUGGACAAUGGGCGAAAGCCUGAUCCAGCCAUGCCGCGUGUGUGAAGAAGGUCUUCGGAUUGUAAAGCACUUUUAGUUGGGAGGAAGAGCAGUAGGUUAAUACCUUGCUGUUUUGACGUUACCAACAGAAUAAGCACCGGCUAACUUCGUG